UACGUAGGUGGCAAGCGUUAUCCGGAUUUAUUGGGCGUAAAGGGAACGCAGGCGGUCUUUUAAGUCUGAUGUGAAAGCCUUCGGCUUAACCGGAGUAGUGCAUUGGAAACUGGGAGACUUGAGUGCAGAAGAGGAGAGUGGAACUCCAUGUGUAGCGGUGAAAUGCGUAGAUAUAUGGAGGAACACCGGUGGCGAAAGCGGCUCUCUGGCCUGUAACUGACACUGAGGCUCAAAAGCGUGGGGAGCAAACAGG
rnacentral:rRNA from 1 species